UUGCCUCAGUAACGGCGAGUGAAGCGGCAAAAGCUCAAAUUUGAAAUCUGGCACUUUCAGUGUCCGAGUUGUAAUUUGAAGAAGGUAACUUUGGAUCUGGUCCUUGUCUAUGUUCCUUGGAACAGGACGUCACAGAGGGUGAGAAUCCCGUGCGAUGGGGAAUCCAGAUCUAUGUAAAGUGCUUUCGAAGAGUCGAGUUGUUUGGGAAUGCAGCUCUAAGUGGGUGGUAAAUUCCAUCUAAAGCUAAAUAUUGGCGAGAGACCGAUAGCGAACAAGUACAGUGAUGGAAAGAUGAAAAGAACUUUGAAAAGAGAGUGAAAAAGUACGUGAAAUUGUUGAAAGGGAAGGGCUUUGGAUCAGACUUGGUGUUUAGUACUCUUCACUCCUUGUGGGUGGGGCUCUUGCUUUAUACUGGGCUAGCAUCGGUUUGGGUGGUAGGAUAAUGACAUUGGAAUGUGGCUUCACUUCGGUGGAGUGUUAUAGCCUUUGUUGAUACUACCUACCUAGACCGAGGACUGCGUC
rnacentral:rRNA from 1 species